rnacentral:lncRNA from 13 species
GGCAAGCACGCUAUGUGUCAACUAUUGGCAUCAUCAUCAUCUUCUUCAUUAUUUUAGGCAAAAAGAGAAGCAUAUGCAAAGGUCUGGAGGUGAGAAAGAGCAUGGCAUGUUCAAGGAGCUUAAAGAAACGUGAUCAGUGCAAAAACGAUCAGUGGAACUUUUGACUUCGGGUCAUGGCCGACAGUGAUUUCCUGUAGAAGUGGUAUGCAUUGUAGGAUGGACUUCACCGUGCCUUGGCGGGCUCUUUGUCUUCUUUGACAUAUGUUUCCCCUAUCUGCACUUCUUCCUCUCUGGAGAGUAAGGCCUAUGAGGACAGAAGCCAAGUCUGUUUUUCUUAUCAUCCCAUCUCCAGCGACUCCAGCAGUAUAUGCUACAUGGUAGAUGCUUGCUAAAGAUGUGUUGAUUGAAUGAAUGUCUGAACGACCAAAUAAAUGACUAUCCCUUUGUGCCCA